rnacentral:tRNA from 1 species
AUCUACCUGGCUUAGUUGGUAGAGUAUGCGACUCUUGAGCUCAGGGUUGUGAGUUCGAGCCCCAUGUUGGAUG